GUCUACGAUCAUGCCACUCUGAACAAGCCCAAUCCUGUCUGAUCUCGGAAGCUAAGCAGGGUUGGGCCUGGUUAGUACUGGGAUGGGAGACCACCUAGGAAGACCAAGUGCUGUAGGCG
rnacentral:rRNA from 1 species